CAGUAGCGUAUACUAAAGUUGUUGCAGUUAAAAGCUCGUAGUUGGAUUUCUGGUAUGACGAGCCUGGCCCGCCACAAUUGUGGUGUGAGCCGGUGCAUGUCUGCCAUCCUUCCAGAAUCAAUUUAUUGGUACUGGAUCAUUUACUGUGAGAAAAUUAGAGUGUUCAAAGCAAGCUUACGCUGUGAAUACAUUAGCAUGGAAUAAUAAAAUAGGACUUUGGUUUUAUUUUGUUGGUUUCGGGGACCGAAGUAAUGAUUGAUAGGGACAGUUGGGGGUGCUAGUAUUCAACGGCCAGAGGUGAAAUUCUUGGAUUCGUUGAAGACUAACUUAUGCGAAAGCAUUCACCAAGGAUGUCUUCUUUAAUCAAGAACGAAAGUUGGGGGAUCGAAGAUGAUUAGAUACCAU
rnacentral:rRNA from 1 species